GGCAUCUUAGCCAAGUGGUUUAAGGCGACAGAUUCGAAAUCUGUUUCCCUCUGGGAGCGCAGGUUCAAAUCCUGCAGAUGUCG
rnacentral:tRNA from 1 species